rnacentral:misc_RNA from 1 species
GAUGAAGAACGCAGCGAAAUGCGAUAAGUAAUGUGAAUUGCAGAAUUCAGUGAAUCAUCGAAUCUUUGAACGCACCUUGCACCCUUUGGUAUUCCGAAGGGUAUGCUCGUUUGAGUGUCAUUGUACUCUCACACUUCUAAUUCCUUUCGGGAUUGGGAGCGGUGGACUUGGGUGUUGCUGCUUUAGUUGUGGCUCACCUCAAAUAAGUUAGUGCAACUCUUGGUUGGACAUAGUACGGCGUGAUAAGUGUCUUCGCCGGCGCCUCUGUAAGGAGGGUGGCCGAUCGGGAGCUCUGUGCUUCAAACCGUCUUCGGACAAUCUUUGACAACUUGACCUCAAAUCGAGUAGGACUACCCGCUGAAUUUAAGCAUAUCAAUAAGCGGAGGA